rnacentral:tRNA from 1 species
GGUUGUGGCUAAGUGGUAGAGCACUUGCCUAGCAUGUGUGAGGCUCUGGGUUCAAGUCUCAGCACUG